rnacentral:RNase_P_RNA from 1 species
AAGGGCUGCCGGGCAGUCGCGCGCCGCUCGGCGGCGUGAGGAAAGUCCGGGCUUCACAGGACGGCGUGCGGGACAACGUCCCGUCGGGGAAACUCGAAGGAAAGUGCCACAGAAACAAACCGCCCGCGCGAUGCGGGCAAGGGUGAAAUCGUGAGGUAAGAGCUCACGGAGCGUCGCGGUAACGCGCGCUCGGGUAAACCCCACGCGAAGCAAGAUCGCUCGACACGCUCCGCGCGGCGGAGACGGAUCGUCCGUCCGAACGAGCUACAUCGCACCGAGGCGCGCGGUGACGCGCGUCCCAGAUAGAUGGCUGCCGCCGCGCAAGCGGUACAGAAUCCGGCUUACAAGCAGCCUUUGCCC